CGACGGGCCCGCACAAGCAGCGGAGCGUGUGGUUUAAUUCGAUGUUACACGAAGAACCUUACCAGGGUUUGACAUGCAAGUGGUAGGAAGCCGAAAGGUGACCGACCCUUCGGGGAGCUUGCACAGGUGCUGCAUGGCUGUCGUCAGCUCGUGUCGUGAGAUGUUCGGUUAAGUCCGCUAACGAGCGCAACCCUCGCUGUGUGUUAUAUGUGUCACACGGGACUGCCGGUCUUAAGCCGGAGGAAGGUGGGGAUGAUGUCAAGUCAGCAUGGCCUUUAUAUCCUGGGCUACACACACGCUACAAUGGCCAACACAAUAGGUUGCUAAGCCGCGAGGUGGCGCCAAUCCAUAAAGUUGGUCUCAGUUCAGAUUGUAGGCUGCAACCCGCCUGCAUGAAGAUGGAGUUGCUAGUAACCGCAGGUCAGCUAUACUGCGGUGAAUACGUUCCCGGGGCUU
rnacentral:rRNA from 1 species